GAAAUGCGAUAAGUAGUGUGAAUUGCAGAAUUCAGUGAAUCAUCGAAUCUUUGAACGCAACUGGCGCUUUUUGGUAUUCCAAGAAGCAUGCCUGUUUGAUAUCGGUAAAAACCAUGAGCACAGAAUUUAUUCUGUGGUCUUCUGUGGAUGUUUCUUCAAUUUGAAGUCAUCUAAAAUUUAUUUCCUAAAAGCGAACCUCUUGGCCAUUUUUAAGAUGUGAUAAUAUUUCUCUUGAGAACUUUGACUCACAAACUAAUUUCGGUUAAUGCUCUGCUAGGGAUUGUUUGGCAACACUUCAUUGAAGUGUGAACAAACUCCAAAGUUACGGUAUCAAAUCAGGUAGGAUUACCCGCUGAACUUAA
rnacentral:misc_RNA from 1 species